rnacentral:tRNA from 1 species
AGUAGCUUGGCCUAAUGGAUAGAGCAUGGGCCUGGAAGUCAGCAGAUCUGGGUUCUAAUCCCAGAUCUACCA